AUUGAACGCUGGCGGCAUGCCUUACACAUGCAAGUCGAACGGCAUCGCGGGAGAGCUUGCUUUCCUGGCGGCGAGUGGCGAACGGGUGAGUAACACAUCGGAACGUACCGGCUAGUGGGGGAUAACCCGUCGAAAGACGGGCUAAUACCGCAUACGCUCUUCGGAGGAAAGCAGGGGACCUUUGGGCCUUGCGCUAGUCGAGCGGCCGAUGUCCGAUUAGCUAGUUGGUGGGGUAAAGGCCUACCAAGGCGACGAUCGGUAGCGGGUCUGAGAGGACGAUCCGCCACACUGGGACUGAGACACGGCCCAGACUCCUACGGGAGGCAGCAGUGGGGAAUCUUGGACAAUGGGGGCAACCCUGAUCCAGCAAUGCCGCGUGGGUGAAGAAGGCCUUCGGGUUGUAAAGCCCUUUCGGCAGGGAAGAAAUCGGCGGGGCGAAUAACCCUGCUGGAUGACGGUACCUGCAGAAGAAGCACCGGCUAACUACGUG
rnacentral:rRNA from 1 species